rnacentral:rRNA from 1 species
AGCAGUAGCCACGGUAACACGGAGGGUGCAAGCGUUAAUCGGAAUUACUGGGCGUAAAGCGCACGCAGGCGGUCUGUCAAGUCGGAUGUGAAAUCCCCGGGCUCAACCUGGGAACUGCAUUCGAAACUGGCAGGCUAGAGUCUUGUAGAGGGGGGUAGAAUUCCAGGUGUAGCGGUGAAAUGCGUAGAGAUCUGGAGGAAUACCGGUGGCGAAGGCGGCCCCCUGGACAAAGACUGACGCUCAGGUGCGAAAGCGUGGGGAGCAAACAGGAUUAGAUACCCGGGUAGUCCCUGUCUCUUAUAC